GAGCUCGCUAUAGGAUCUUUGGGCUAGAAUGUCGUCCCUCCCCCGGCGAGAAGAAUGACGCCAAAGGGCGGAGGGCGAGAGAGAGAAAGAGAGACGCCGGCGCUCUCUACCUGGGCACGCCUCCGACAACGCAACGCAGCAUAACCAAGGACCAGAGAUAGACACAAAAUGCCGGAGUAACUCAGCGGGACGGGCAGCAUCUCUGGAGAGAAGGAAUGGGUGACAUUUCGCGUCGGGACCCUUCUUCAGAGUGGUUAGGAAUAAGGGAAACGAGCGAUAUAGGCGCUAUAGAUGUGGAGAGAUAAAGAACAACGAAUGAAUGAAUGAAAGAUCAACGAUCAGUCUCAUCCCAUCUUCUCCCAUCAGGCAAGGGUAGAGAAGUGUGAAAACGUACACCUCCAGAUUCAGAGACAGUUUUUUGUUCCCAGCUGUUAUCAGGCAACUGAACCACCAACCAAAGAACGGUCCAGAGCUCCCAUCUACAUCACUGGAGACCCUCAGGCUAUCUUUAAUCUGACUUUUCUGGACUUUAUCUUGCACUAAACGUUAUUCACAUCAUUAUCCGGCAUCAGUGCACUGUGGAUGGCUCUAUUGUAAUCAUGCAUAGUCUUUCCGCUGACUGGUUAGCAUGCAACAAAAGCUUUUCAUUGUACCUCGGUACACGUGACAAUAAAUUACUCAAACUGCUGUA